GACGAACGCUGGCGGCGUGCUUAACACAUGCAAGUCGAACGGAAAGGCCCUGCUUUUGUGGGGUGCUCGAGUGGCGAACGGGUGAGUAACACGUGAGUAACCUGCCCUUGACUUUGGGAUAACUUCAGGAAACUGGGGCUAAUACCGGAUAGGAGCUCCUGCUGCAUGGUGGGGGUUGGAAAGUUUCGGCGGUUGGGGAUGGACUCGCGGCUUAUCAGCUUGUUGGUGGGGUAGUGGCUUACCAAGGCUUUGACGGGUAGCCGGCCUGAGAGGGUGACCGGCCACAUUGGGACUGAGAUACGGCCCAGACUCCUAUGGGAGGCAGCAGUGGGGAAUAUUGCACAAUGGGCGGAAGCCUGAUGCAGCAACGCCGCGUGCUGGAUGACGGCCUUCGGGUUGUAAACCGCUUUCGCCUGUGACGAAGCGUGAGUGACGGUAAUGGGUAAAGAAGCACCGGCUAACUACGUG
rnacentral:rRNA from 1 species